rnacentral:rRNA from 1 species
GACGAACGCUGGCGGCGUGCCUAAUACAUGCAAGUCGACCUUAGUUGCGAACGGGUGAGUAACACGUGGGUAAGUUGCCCGUCAGAAGGGGAGAACACUUGGAAACAGGUGCUAAUACCGAAUACUGGUGGAUGGACCGGCGGUGCAUUAGCUAGUUGGUGAGGGAACGGCUCACCAAGGCCACGAUGCAUAGCCGACCUGAGAGGUUGAUCGGCCACAUUGGGACUGAGACACGGCCCAAACUCCUACGGGAGGCAGCAGUGGGGAAUCUUCGGCAAUGGACGAAAGUCUGACCGAGCAACGCCGCGUGAGUGAAGAAGGUUUUCGGAUCGUAAAACUCUGUUGUUGGAGAAGCGGUAUCUAACCAGAAAGCCACGGCUAACUACGUGCCAGCAGCCGCGGUAAUAC